UACGGAGGGAGCUAGCGUUGUUCGGAAUUACUGGGCGUAAAGCGCACGUAGGCGGCUUUGUAAGUUAGAGGUGAAAGCCCGGGGCUCAACUCCGGAACUGCCUUUAAGACUGCAUCGCUUGAAUCCAGGAGAGGGAAGUGGAAUUCCGGGUGUAGUGGUGAAAUGCGUAGAUAUCCGGAGGAACACCAGUGGCGAAGGCGACUUUCUGGCCUGUUCUUGACGCUGAGGCGCGAAAGCUAGGGGAGCAAACGGG
rnacentral:rRNA from 1 species